GGAAAAUAGAGUAAAUGUGUUUAUAAUAUUUAGUCUUUGCAAUAAACAUGAGAUAAAUAAAUUAUUACGUGAGAAAUAGACAUAGGUCCUUGUAUUUAGAUAAAGGACUCGAUCAAUGUUCAUAAUUUACACCAAUCAACCAUCAUAAAAAUAAAAACAAUUCGCAUGAAAAUUACACCAAUCAAUAUUCAUAACAUUCACUAGGUUGACAAAAAGAAAAAUGCUAGAAUUUUGAACAAGACAAUAAAGAUACAUAUACACUAAAAAUUACAGAUGCUCCAUAGUGGACUUCACGUAGUUAAUUAUCCUAAAAUAAUGGUACAACAUAGCAGAAUGUUCACCCUCCAAGCCAUCUCUGCACAUGACUCAAUCUUCUACGAAUGGAGAGCCACCUCUGCUCCUCAGUACAAGAGAAUAGUGUAAGCACAUUCAUGCCAUGUGUAGACACAGUUCUCUUGUAUUGGAGGAGUGGAGGAACCAGCUCUUUAGAAUGUUCCUCCAAUACCAGAGAAUGGAGAGCCACCUCCGCUCCUCCAAUACCAAAGAAUAGUGUAAGCACAUUCAUGCCAUGUGCAGACACUGUUCUCUGGGAUUGGAGGAGAGGAGGUGGUACAUCCAUUGCCGAUCCAUCUGCAUCGUAUUACGUGAAAAAUGAACAUAGGGUUUCGUAUUAGAUAAAGAACUUGAUCAAUGUUAGGUAGGGGGAAAAUAGAGUAAAUGUGUUUAUAAUAUUUAAUCCUUGCAAUAAACAUGAGAUAAAUAAAUUAUUGGUUAAAGAAAUACAAUUAUUGUUAAAUUACAGUGACAUGAAAAAUUGUAGCAAUGACCAAAUUCUAUUUAUUACACCUACAAUUUAUUUGCCAUAAUUUUAUUGUAAUGACUAAAUAUUAAAAAUACAUUUACUCUAUUUUUUUCCCCUACCUAAUAUUGAUCAAGUUCUUUACCUAACACGAAUCAUAUAUAACAAGCAAGCUAUCCAUCAAAUUCUAGCUCAAAAACAUGUACAAAUAAAAAGCCUCUCCAUUCUCC
rnacentral:lncRNA from 1 species